GCUAGGAUGAACGCUAGCGGCAGGCUUAACACAUGCAAGUCGAGGGGCAACGCGAGUAGCAAUACUUGGCGGCGACCGGCGCAAGGGUGCGUAACGCGUGAGCAACAUGCCCGUAUCAGGGGGAUAAUCCAGGGAAACUUGGUCUAAUACCCCAUAGUAAUUUUGUAAGGCAUCUUAUAAGAUUUAAAGCUUUGGUGGAUACGGAUUGGCUCGCGUGACAUUAGGCUGGAUGGUAAGGUAACGGCUUACCAUGGCUAUGAUGUCUAGGGGUUCUGAGAGGAAGGUCCCCCACACUGGAACUGAGACACGGCCCAGACUCCUACGGGAGGCAGCAGUGAGGAAUAUUGGACAAUGGAUGGAAAUCUGAUCCAGCCAUGCCGCGUGAAGGAAGAAGGUCCUAUGGAUUGUAAACUUCUUUUGUAUGGGAGCAAUAAGGCCUACGAGUAGGUUGAUGAGAGUACCAUACGAAUAAGCACCGGCUAACUCCGUGCCAGCCGCGGC
rnacentral:rRNA from 1 species